CCUUGUUUUUCUCAUCCUCAUUUUUUGCAGUGUUUUGAAAUUAAUAAAAUGCACGGUUCAUCUUCAUUCAAUCAAAUAACGUUGAUUAACGGUAUAUGAUUCCUAUCCUUCUUCUUUGUUUAAUUUAAUAUUUUGUUCCAUAUACUUCUACAACAUUUUUAGCAUUAGCUUCUACAAAUUCUUUUUUUUUUUUUUUUUUUUUUUUUUUUUUUUUCUAUUUGCGAUUGUUGGGUAUAUUUUGGUAUGGGUCGUAAGCAUCGUGCAGAGGAUUGAUGGUGGGGUCGUCCUCGACUUUUUACUAAUUUCGACCAUUCUUUAGACUAAGGUGUAGGUUAACACGAGUCUAUUGCGUCAGAGAUGUCAGCCCAAAUUUUUCGUUGCAUAUUGAUGAUUUGCCGUCGGUUUCUUUUGGUAGCCCUAAAAUGAGUCAGUGUGAUCCAAAACUCCGGGGUGACCCAAAACCCCGACACUCAGGGGAUGUUCAUGAAGAGUGUCAGAUAAAGAUAUUCAAAAUGUCAAAAGAAAAGGGAAAGAAAAAGUGUCGGAGCAUGGUUCAGGCGAUGAGAAUGGGAGGAAGAAAGAAAAAGUGUUGUUGAAUCACAAAUUCCUUGUGAAUGGAUUCCUGAAACAGUAACUCAUAGAGUUCCUCCAACACUCGACAACCUUGAUGAUAAGAAGGCUCUAUCACAGUAAAAUCAGUUCCCAAUCGGUUGGUGAAAAAGUAAUUUAACAGUUCACCCAAUGUGAUAUGGGCCCAGCUAAUUGAGCACUGUUUUACUAAGACAAGAUGGAAGUUUGAUGUUGAUGCCUUGAAGAUUGCAAUAUUGUAUUGUGUAAACACUUUCCUGUUUGCUAUCUUGAAGACCAAAUUUGUUGACUUGGCGUACUUUGUUUUGGUUGA